rnacentral:rRNA from 1 species
AUGCGCAUUUUUGAGGCAUUCCAUGCCGGGACAUUGGAUGUUGCCCGUCUUAACUAUCGGAUAAUUACACUGAUCCCUAAAAUGGCAGGGGCUAAGAAAAUUCAACAAUUCCGCCCCAUUUGCCUUCUUCAUUGUCCCUAUAAACUAAUUACUAAAGUGUUGGACAACCACGUAGCUAUCUAUGCGGAUAAGUUGAUCAGGCGACACCAAAAUGCCUUCAUUAAGAAUAGAAACAUCAUGGAUGGGAUUCUGUCCUUGCAUGAGGUGCUGCAUCAUGCUCACAGUAAGAGGAAAACUGGUGUGGUUUUAAAGCUUGGCUUUGAAAAAGCAUACGAUAAAAUCAACUGGGAUUUUCUCCUGGAAUGCCAUAGGAUGAGGGGGUUUAAUCAUAAAUGGUGUGGAUGGAUUAAAAAUAUCCUGAAUGAUGGCACGGUGAGUAUCAAGUUGAAUAACGAGACUUGA